rnacentral:rRNA from 1 species
CCUACGGGUGGCAGCAGUGGGGAAUAUUGCGCAAUGGGCGAAAGCCUGACGCAGCGACGCCGCGUGAGGGAUGAAGGUCUUCGGAGCGGAAACCUCUGUCAGCAGGGAAGAACGGUCACUGGGCUAAGCAGCAGUGAAUGGACGGUACCUGCAAAGGAAGCACCGGCUAACUCCGUGCCAGCAGCCGCGGUAAUACGGAGGGUGCGAGCGUUAAUCGGAAUUACUGGGCGUAAAGCGCUCGUAGGCGGUAUGUCAAGUCAAGGGUGAAAUCCCCGCGCUCAACUGGGGAACUGCCUCUUAUACUGGUCAUCUGGAGUGUGUGUGCGGCUAGUGGAAUUCCCGGUGUAGCGGUGAAAUCCUUAGAUAUC